CGGGCGGUAGGAUAAAGGCUAUUCCGCGUGGUUCGGGACCACGAGACUGCGGGUUCAAUUCCCGCCCGCCCGA
rnacentral:tRNA from 1 species